rnacentral:lncRNA from 1 species
GUUUCCUAGUUAUUCACCUUGGAAGAGUGGAUGAAAAUUUCCUGGCUAACCAUUACCAAAAAUAUAAUCUUGACAUUUUUAAGAAACAUUUGAACACAAAAUAUACUGGGUCAUUGAUCCCAGGAAGUCCUAUCCGGAUUGACUCAUACCAUUUGAUAAUGGUGAUUCACAGAAGACAUACCUUUGUCAGGAUGAAAUGCUCAUGUAUGAGAGCAACAUAAAAAUAUCUGGAGUUGAAUUUAAAG